GACGAACGCUGGCGGCGUGCUUAACACAUGCCAGUCGAACGGAAAGGCCCUGCUUUUGUGGGGUGCUCGAGUGGCGAACGGGUGAGUAACACGUGAGUAACCUGCCCUUGACUUUGGGAUAACUUCAGGAAACUGGGGCUAAUACCGGAUAGGAGCUCCUGCUGCAUGGUGGGGGUUGGAAAGUUUCGGCGGUUGGGGAUGGACUCGCGGCUUAUCAGCUUGUUGGUGGGGUAGUGGCUUACCAAGGCUUUGACGGGUAGCCGGCCUGGGAGGGUGACCGGCCACAUUGGGACUGAGAUACGGCCCAGACUCCUACGGGAGGCAGCAGGGGGGAAUAUUGCACAAUGGGCGGAAGCCUGAUGCAGCAACGCCGCGUGCGGGAUGACGGCCUUCGGGUUGUAAACCGCUUUCGCCUGUGACGAAGCGUGAGUGACGGUAAUGGGUAAAGAAGCACCGGCUAACUACGUG
rnacentral:rRNA from 1 species